GAGCGCCGUAGCAAUACGGAGCGGCAGACGGGAGAGUAACACGUGGGAACGUACCCUUUGGUUCGGAACAACCCCAGGGAAACUUGGGCUAAUACCGGAUAAGCCCUUACGGGGAAAGAUUUAUCGCUCUAGGAGGGGCCCGCGUCGGAUUAGCUAGUUGGUGAGGUAACGGCUCACCAAGGCGAUGAUCCGUAGCUGGUCUGAGAGGAUGAUCAGCCACACUGGGACUGAGACACGGCCCAGACUCCUACGGGAGGCAGCAGUGGGGAAUAUUGGACAAUGGGGGCAACCCUGAUCCAGCAAUGCCGCGUGAGUGAUGAAGGCCUUAGGGUUGUAAAGCUCUUUCGCCCGCGACGAUGAUGACGGUAGCGGGAGAAGAAGCCCCGGCUAACUUCGUG
rnacentral:rRNA from 1 species